rnacentral:rRNA from 1 species
CAGCCGCCGCGGUAAUACCGGCGGCUCGAGUGGUGGCCACUUUUAUUGGGCUUAAAGCGUUCGUAGCUGGGUUGUUAAGUCUCUUGGGAAAUCUGACGGCUUAACCGUCAGGCGUCUAAGAGAUACUGGCAAUCUUGGAACCGGGAGAGGUGAGGGGUACUUCGGGGGUAGGAGUGAAAUCCUGUAAUCCUCGAGGGACCACCUGUGGCGAAGGCGCCUCACCAGAACGGCUUCGACAGUGAGGGACGAAAGCUGGGGGAGCAAACCGGAUUAGAUACCCGGGUAGUCCCAGCCGUAAACGAUGCGCGUUAGGUGUAUCGGUGACCACGAGUCACCGAGGUGCCGAAGGGAAACUGUGAAACGUGCCGCCUGGGAAGUACGGUCGCAAGGCUGAAACUUAAAGGAAUUGGCGGG